rnacentral:rRNA from 1 species
AUUGAACGCUGGCGGCAGGCCUAACACAUGCAAGUCGAGCGGAGCGGCGGACGGGUGAGUAAUGCCUAGGCAUCUGCCUGGUCGUGGGGGAUGACGUCCGGAAACGGGCGCUAAUACCGCAUACUAUCAGAUGAGCCUAGGUCGGAUUAGAUAGUGGUGGGGGUAAAGGCAUACCAAGGCGACGAUCCGUAACUGGUCUGGGUGGAUGAUCAGUCACACUGGAACGGAGCAACGGUCCAGAUUCCUACGGGAGGCAGCAGUGGGGAAUAUUGGACAAUGGGCAAAAGCCUGAUGCAGCCAUGCCGCGUGUGUGAAGAAGGUCGUCGGAUUGUAAAGCACUUUAAGUUGGGAGGCGUUACCAGCAGAAUAAGCACCGGCUAACUCCGUGCCAGCAGCCGCGGUAAUUC